CAACGUCAACUCAUAUGGGACUACCCCCUGAAUUUAAGCAUAUUAAUUAGGGGAGGAAAAGAAACUAACAGAGAUUUUCUUAGUAGCGGCGAGCGAAAAGAAAUCAGUUCAUCACUAAGUCACUUUGUCUAUAUAGCACAUGUGAAAUGCGGUGUACCGAAUAUUAAAAUUUUAGUAUGAGAAGUUAACGAUUUUAAUGCCCCUUAAAAAAAGCCAUUUACCCAAAAAUGGGGCCAGGGUCUCCUAAAACUUUAAU
rnacentral:ncRNA from 1 species